rnacentral:rRNA from 1 species
UGAGCAAUCUGCCCUUCUCUUUGGAAUAAGCGUUGGAAACGACGUCUAAUGCCGAAUACGACCUCCUUUCGCAUGAUCGGAGGUGGAAAGCUCCGGCGGUCAAGGAUGAGCUCGCGGCCUAUCAGCUUGUUGGUGGGGUGAUGGCCUACCAAGGCGACGACGGGUAGCCGGCCUGAGAGGGCGACCGACCACACUGGGACUGAGACACGGCCCAGACCUCCGUACGGGAGGNAGCG